rnacentral:rRNA from 1 species
CCUACGGGAGGCAGCAGUGGGGAAUAUUGGGCAAUGGAGGCAACUCUGACCCAGCAACGCCGCGUGAAUGAUGAAGGUCUUCGGAUUGUAAAGCUCUGUGAUGGGGGAUGAACACAAUGACGGUACCCCAAUAGCAAGCCACGGCUAACUACGUGCCAGCAGCCGCGGUAAUACGUAGGUGGCAAGCGUUAUCCGGAAUGACUGGGGUUAAAGGGUGCGUAGGUGGUUUAGUAAGUUGGCGGUGUAAUUCCGGGGCUCAACCCCGGCGGUACCGCCGAAACUGUUAGACUAGAGUGCAGGAGGGGUAAGUGGAAUGCGUGGUGUAGCGGUGGAAUGCAUAGAUAUUACGAAGAACAUCGAGGGCGAAGGCGGCUUACUGGACUGUAACUGACACUGAGGCACGAAAGCGUGGGGAUCAAACAGGAUUAGAUACCCCAGUAGUC